rnacentral:misc_RNA from 1 species
GUGAAGAACGUAGCGAAAUGCGAUACGUAAUGUGAAUUGCAGAAUUCAGUGAAUCAUCGAAUCUUUGAACGCAUAUUGCGCUCUCUGGUAUUCCGGAGAGCAUGCUUGUUUGAGUAUCAGUAAACACCUCAACUUCCAUAUCUUUUUUGAAAUGGGAGUUGGACUUGAGUGAUCCCAACGCUUUUCCUCACCGAAAAGUGGCGGGUUACUUGAAAUGCAGGUGCAGCUGGACUUUUCUCUGAGCUAUAAGCAUAUCUAUUUAGUCUGCCUAAAAACAGAUUAUUACCUUUGCUGCAGCUAACAUAAAGGAGAUUAGUUCUUGUGCUGACUGAUGCAGGAUUCACAAAGACAGGCUUCGGCCGACUUUGUAAACUCGAUCUCAAAUCAAGUAAGACUACCCGCUGAACUUAAGCAUAUCAAUAAGCGGAGGA